rnacentral:rRNA from 1 species
GAUGAACGCUGGCGGCGUGCCUAAUACAUGCAAGUCGAGCGAACGGACGAGAAGCUUGCUUCUCUGAUGUUAGCGGCGGACGGGUGAGUAACACGUGGAUAACCUACCUAUAAGACUGGGAUAACUUCGGGAAACCGUAGCUAAUACCGGAUAAUAUUUUGAACCGCAUGGUUCAAAAGUGAAAGACGGUCUUGCUGUCACUUAUAGAUGGAUCCGCGCUGCAUUAGCUAGUUGGUAAGGUAACGGCUUACCAAGGCAACGAUGCAUAGCCGACCUGAGAGGGUGAUCGGCCACACUGGAACUGAGGCACGGUCCAGACUCCUACGGGAGGCAGCAGUAGGGAAUCUUCCGCAAUGGGCGAAAGCCUGACGGAGCAACGCCGCGUGAGGGAUGAAGGUCUUCGGAUCGUAAAACUCUGUUAUUAGGGAAGAACAUAUGUGUAAGUAACUGUGCACAUCUUGACGGUACCUAAUCAGAAAGCCACGGCUAACUACGUG